rnacentral:misc_RNA from 1 species
CAAUGGCAGAAGAGGAAUAUCCUGACGUGGAGCUCAGCGACAAGCAAAAGAAAGAGAUCGCUAAAUGGUUCCUCCUCAACUCUCCCGCCGGUGAAAUCCAAUACGUCGCUAAAGAUUUGAGAUCGGUUUUGAAUGAUGAGAGAAUAUAUAAUGAGGCGGCUCAAGAGGCAUUCCCUCUCUACAACAAAUCUCAUAUUAUUUGCCUCGAAUUCCCCGACAGAAGCGGAGAUGUGUUGAUUACAUCUUAUAAUGAGCUUGAUAAGAAUGAGUAUCU